CCUACGGGAGGCAGCAGUGGGGAAUAUUGCACAAUGGGGGAAACCCUGAUGCAGCGACGCCGCGUGAGUGAAGAAGUAAUUCGUUAUGUAAAGCUUCAUCAGCCGGGAAGCAAAUGACGGUACCUGAGUAAGAAGCCCAGGCUAACUACGUGCCAGCAGCCGGGGUAAUACGUAGGGGGCAAGCGUUAUCCGGAUUUACUGGGUGUAAAGGGAGCGUAGACGGCAGUGUAAGUCUGGAGUGAAAGGCGGGGGGUCAACCCCCGGACUGCUGUGGAAACUGGACGGCUGGAGUGCAGGAGAGGUAUGUGGAAUGCCUAGUGUAGCGGUGAAAUGCGUAGAUAUUAGGAGGAACACCAGUGGCGAAGGCGGCUUACUGGAGUGGAACUGACGUUGAGGCUCGAAAGCGUGGGGAGCAAACAGGAUUAGAUACCCUGGUAGUC
rnacentral:rRNA from 1 species